GGUCAGAUGGCCGAGUGGUCUAAGGCGCCGGAUUCAAGCAGCUUGCAUACGCUACUUCCUCGUUACACUGAGGUUCCCGGUCAAGAAAUUGGCGCGGGUUCAAAUCCCGCUCUGACCA